rnacentral:rRNA from 1 species
UACGAAGGGGGCUAGCGUUGUUCGGAAUCACUGGGCGUAAAGCGCACGCAGGCGGAUUGAUAAGUCAGGGGUGAAAUCCCGGAGCUCAACUUCGGAAUUGCCUUUGAUACUGUUAAUCUCGAGUCCGGGAGAGGUGAGUGGAAUUCCUAGUGUAGAGGUGAAAUUCGUAGAUAUUAGGAAGAACACCAGUGGCGAAGGCGGCUCACUGGCCCGGUACUGACGCUCAUGUGCGAAAGCGUGGGGAGCAAAC